CCCGGGCUUGAAAUCUCGCAAGUGCUUUAAAGGCAUUUCGUCAAUCGAGGUCAGUUCAUGUGUCGUCCCCCUCAUGGGCGUUGAUUUUUUGUUACCACAAUGGGAACUGACAUAUCGAACCUGCCCCAUCUUGUUGCCUUCUACUUUUUUUUGGCCUCUCCAUCCCUACAACAUAUUAUAAUUGCAUAACUUCUUUGUAUUUUUGCUCUUCGAUAUAUGUUAUAAGACAACUAUUUUCUUGGUUAUUGGGUGACUAAAUAAUGCAUGAUCAUUUAUUUUUAAAUUUAAUAGUAAGCAUGGAGAAUAAAUAAAUGUGUUUUAAGAGCGUUUGAUUGUUUAGACCAAUCCAAUCCUAGACAAAACAUGAAGUUAAUUAAAAAAACUAGAUGUAUUAGCAUUAGACCUUCAUUUACAUGUUACAUUUUAAGCCAUUUAAAAUGUGAGCCUUAAAUAAGAUCAUGCCAAGUUUAUUCAAAUUAGUCCUACAAUUAGUCCAAGCCAAAUCUAUCCGCUGCAACAAACACCCGUGUUUUAAUUUCAACCUUUAUUAUUAAUUUCAAAGAUACAAGACCAUGAAUUAUUGAUAAACAUACUGACUUUUAGUCGGAAGAAACUCUUGUUAUAAGUGCAUAAUUGCAACAAACAUACAUAACACAACAAAUAAAUAUAUUUCUUUUCAGCAUAAAAAACCAAAUAAAAAUAUGAGAUGAAUCAGUUUCAUUUUCAUUUUCUAAAAUAUGAGAUAAUUACAAAAUCCAUAACUUAUGGAGGCAUGGUGCCUCAAAGAAAAUACAGGUAGUUCUAUCCACACACUCAUUUUUAACUCUCAUACGUCUCUCGUUAAUUUAUGUUAUUUGAUUAUCUUCAAUUCUUUCUAUUCUACAAAAUUAUGAAAGAUUUGUGAGGGGUAAAAGGAUAUAUCCCAUCUCCCAUCAAAAUGUCACCAUGAUAUCUCCCUCCUCCCAUAUGGAUCUGGUGGACAGGUCCCACGAACCACCACCAUCCAUGUUCUGUAUGCUCACUCACUGCCACUAUAUGCUAAGCAUACAAAAGCAAACUGUGUGCAGUAGACGACAUGACCACAAUAGCAACAUUGCACCAACCGUAGGCCAUAACUUCAUUUCUUUCUUCUUCUUCCCUUUCCAUAUCAUGAAAAGAACACGGUGCAUGUCCUCUCUAUGCGCGUGUGAACUGCCCAUAAUUUGAAGGCUUCUAGAGUUGCUAUUUAUUAUGCCUUUAAAGUGAGGCCGUCCCUUAGAUGUGACACCCACCCUAAAGAUUAAGGUCAUGCACAUGUACACUCCACGCAUGACUCGGUAGGUUGUGUAUUGCCAACCGCAUGUAGCCUCUUUCACAAGCAAUUUAAUUAGAAAUUAAAUUUCUAAUACAUGAGCACAAAUUUGUGUAUGCAGUCACACAACUAUGUAAUGUGAUUGUUGGGCAUUAGAAUCUAUCGACUUGUAAGCUCUUAUUGGAAAAUACACGAAAACAAGUUUUUUUUCUUUUUCAUUUCAUCCAAAUCAUCAAAAUUCU
rnacentral:lncRNA from 1 species